rnacentral:tRNA from 1 species
AGAAGUUUAGGUUAGACAAACCAAGAGCCUUCAAAGCCCUAAACAAGAGAUAUCAACCCUCCUAACUUCUG